GGUCGGGUAGCUCAGUGGUAGAGCAAUCGCCCGGCAAGCGAGGGACUCGGGUUCGAUCCCGGUCCGGCGG
rnacentral:tRNA from 1 species